rnacentral:rRNA from 1 species
GCUUACGGCCAUACCAGCCUGAAUACGCCCGAUCUCGUCCGAUCUCGGAAGCUAAGCAGGGUCGGGCCUGGUUAGUAAUUGGAUGGGAGACCGCCUGGGAAUACCAGGUGCUGUAAGCU